rnacentral:rRNA from 1 species
CUCUGUAAGUUUUCGGUUAAAUCUGUACGCUCAACGUACAGGCUGCCGGGAAUACUGCAGAGCUAGGGAGUGGGAGAGGUAGACGGUACUCGGUAGGAAGGGGUAAAAUCCUUUGAUCUAUUGAUGACCACCUGUGGCGAAGGCGGUCUACCAGAACACGUCCGACGGUGAGGGAUGAAAGCUGGGGGAGCAAACCGGAUUAGAUACCCGGGUAGUCCCAGCUGUAAACUAUGCAAACUCAGUGAUGCAUUGGCUUGUGGCCAAUGCAGUGCUGCAGGGAAGCCGUUAAGUUUGCCGCCUGGGAAGUACGUACGCAAGUAUGAAACUUAAAGGAAUUGGCGGGGGAGCACCACAAGGGGUGAAGCCUGCGGUUCAAUUGGAGUCAACGCCAGAAAUCUUACCCGGAGAGACAGCAGAAUGAAGGUCAAGCUGAAGACUUUACCAGACAAGCUGAGAGGUGGUGCAUGGCCGUCGCCAGCUCGUGCCGUGAGAUGUCCUGUUAAGUCAGGUAACGAGCGAGAUCCCUGCCUCUAGUUGCCACCAUUACUCUCAGGAGUAGUGGGGCGAAUUAGCGGGACCGCCGCAGUUAAUGCGGAGGAAGGAAGGGGCCACGGCAGGUCAGUAUGCCCCGAAACUCUGGGGCCACACGCGGGCUGCAAUGGUAACGACAAUUGGUUUCGAAUCCGAAAGGAUGAGGUAAUCCUCAAACGUUACCACAGUUAUGACUGAGGGCUGCAACUCGCCCUCACGAAUAUGGAAUCCCUAGUAACUGCGUGUCAUUAUCGCGCGGUGAAUACGUCCCUGCUCCUUGCACACACCGCCCGUCGUUUCAUUGAAGUGAGCUUUUAGCGAGGUGACGUCUAAUUGGCGUUAUCGAACUUGAGGUUCGUGACAAGGGAAAAGUCGUAACAAGGUGACCGUAGGGGAACCUGCGGUCG